rnacentral:rRNA from 1 species
GACGAACGCUGGCGGCGUGCUUAACACAUGCAAGUCGAACGGAAAGGCCCUGCUUUUGUGGGGUGCUCGAGUGGCGAACGGGUGAGUAACACGUGAGUAACCUGCCCUUGACUUUGGGAUAACUUCAGGAAACUGGGGCUAAUACCGGAUAGGAGCUCCUGCUGCAUGGUGGGGGUUGGAAAGUUUCGGCGGUUGGGGAUGGACUCGCGGCUUAUCAGCUUGUUGGUGGGGUAGUGGCUUACCAAGGCUUUGACGGGUAGCCGGCCUGAGAGGGUGACCGGCCACAUUGGGACUGAGAUACGGCCCAGACUCCUACGGGAGGCAGAAGUGGGGAAUAUUGCAAAAUGGGCGGAAGCCUGAUGCAGCAACGCCGCGUGCGGGAUGACGGCCUUCGGGUUGUAAACCGCUUUCGCCUGUGACGAAGCGUGAGGGACGGUAAUGGGUAAAGAAGCACCGGCUAACUAAGUG